UUCAUACCAAGAGUUUUAUCAGAGCAAUGAACAUAAGGUGUGACAAAAAGAAUAGUGAGAAGAAAUAAGACAAGAAAGUUUUUGGUGAGAGCCAUGAUAACUUUGUAAGAGAGUUUUGUUUUUGUUUUGUUUAUAAGUUUUUGGUGAGAGCCAAUGGCAGAUAUAUAUACAUAGAAAUAGCCAGCUAAGAAUCUUAACUUGCAUGUUCAAAACCAAAAAUAAUAAAGACACAAGAUAUUAUAUGAACAAAUAUGUAAACAGAUCAGGGAGACAAUAAUAUCUCCCAAAUCUCAAUACUUUUUUUAAUUACAUAAAAAUAUGUAAAGAAGAAAAGAAACACAAUUAUGUAAUCAUCAAGGUACCUAUCCCAAUUAUGUAAACAAUUAUUGAGGAAACACAAUCAUGUAAACAAAUCAAGAUAGCCCAAUACUCUCUGUAUAUAUUUUUUGGUCUAUGGUAUCCCAAUAAGCCAGAGAAAAAUAUUGAGGAAAAUAAAGAAAGCAUAUUUUUGGUAAUAGAUGAAAAAUAAAAGAAUCUUAAAUUCAGUUUCUUAUGUAUAUAUAUAGUGAAUGUGUUGAUUUUGUCCAGGAUUAUGUAUUAUCUUUCUUAAUUAUUUUGAGGUGAGGUGACAACAACUAAAGAUAUGUUUUGAAAAAGUUUGGACAAAUAACUAAUUUGUUUUCUUUCAUAAAAAACAAAAAUAAAUAACAAAUAAAUAAACAGGGUGGAUAAGGAGAAGUCUUAUUUUUCCAUGUAAACAUUUAGGUUUUAGAAUGGUUGGCUCUCAAGGCCAACCUAUUCGAACUGUACUAAUAAAGUAUUGGACUUUUGUGUAAAAGACAAAAUCAUAAAAAAGGAUAAAAAAAAAAAAAAAAAAAAAAAACGAAAUAAGAGUUUCAUAAAAUACGAAAUAAGAGUUAUCCUCUCUCUCUCUGCUUCAUUUCGCUGUUGAUAAUCGAAUGGAUUCUUGAUCAACGGUGGUUUCUUCUUCAUCCCAAAUAACAAGCAAAGUCGGAAGAUGUAGAGUACUCACGCCUCAAGGUUUUUUUCAUCUCCGCCGCAUAGAUCCGUUGUGUUAUCUUUUUUCUCUCGCUUCUGUAGCCAUGGAUUCUCUCUUUGAACUUGUAAACUUCCACAUCCUGUGACCCAACCAAUCUCUCUCGCUGGGAUGAGCUUUCCUAAGCUAGACCCCCAGUGACGAAUGGAAAGGAAAUAAUAUCACUCUCACAGAUGUUAUUCCGUCAUUGUUUAUCCGCCAUUGUUGGCGAGCUCUAUAACACUUCCAUCUCCACAUAGCUCUCUGAACCAAAGAGUGUGAAGUUUCUUGAGUGGCUCCUCAUUCCAGUAGUGAUUGUACGGACGAUGGCGAAUUUAAAAAACCGGAUCUCCCACAACAGAUCUGAGCACCUCUCCACCUCCUCUUCUCACCCAUUCUACUUGUUUUCUUGGAUCUGUACUUAGUUGGUGUAGAUCUAUACUUGUUUGAGUUUUCCAGUACUGAUUCGGAGUCAAGGUUACUACUCUGCAAUUAUAACGACUUCAUUUAGUCUAUUUCUUCUAGCUUUUGCUAAGAUCUGCCUGAUUUUGGACUCUUUGUCUCUCCUUUUGAGUGAAGAUCUUCUUAACUGGACAAGGUCUCCCGAGUAAUCGGAGAAAUAGACGCCAUUACCGAAUUUGGGUGAAGCGAAAACAAAAUUAACCCGAAAAAAGAAAAAAAAAAUCUACAUGAUUAAAUUAAUCGGUUAUUCCCUCUCAUUGAGGUGUUUUUUUGUGUCAACGUACGAUAAGUUUCUACCCGUCGUCUUCUCACGACUUUUCUGAGAUUCGUUCUACUUCUGAGGGACUUGUUUCCCUCGGAGACGUCCAAUGAAGAUUCUUGCUUGGAACUGUCAAGGGGCGGGUGCAAAACUAACCAAACGCCGACUGGAAGAAUUAUGUCGAAAAUAUUCUCCAGGUUUUUUCUUUCUUUCGGAAACAAAAAACGAUCGGUUAUUUUUAGAAGAUUUGCAACUCAAAUUAGGGUUUGAUUAUCUUCACACUGUAGACCCCUCUGGCUAUAGUGGUGGACUUGCUCUUAUGUAUUUCCGAGACUAUCCGGUUCAACUCUUAUUUGUUAGUGACCGUGUUUUAGACGUUGAAACAAUUAUUGAUGGCAAUCGUGUUUUUCUAACCUUCGUUUAUGGCGAUCCGGUUGUUAAAAACCGUGAAGAAGUUUGGGAGAGACUCACACGUAUUGGGCUCACUCGUUCUGAUCCUUGGUUCAUGGUUGGAGACUUUAACGAAAUAAUUGGCAAUCAUGAAAAAAUAGGAGGAAAGAAACGAUCUUAAUCCUCCUUCCUACCCCCUUUCGGGCAAUGAUUGAUAAUUGUGGCAUGCUUGAAUUUCCUUUCCAAGGAAAUUCUCUCUCCUGGGCAGAACGACGAAAGUGUGGUCUUAUCUGAUCACGUCUCGACCGGGCCCUAGGAAAUGAAGAAUGGCAUAAUAUUUUUUUCCCACACAAAUGUGGAGUAUCUAAAGAUGUGGGGCUCUGACCAUCGGCCUGUUUUGGCCUCAAUCAGCAAUAGUCCCCCAAAGUUCAUUAAAAGGUUUAUGUUUGACAAACGAUGGAUUGGCAAGCCGGGGUUCAAGGAAUCUGUUAAGGCUGGUUGGUCUUUCCCUAUGCGUCCCAUAGGCGGAGUUUUCCCACGCAAGAUUCGGAAUUGUAGAUCUUCGAUAUCAAAGUGGAGAAAAUCAAAUAUUACUAAUUCUUAGAAAAUUAUCCUUGAUCUCCAAAAUCAGAUUGAUGCAGCAAAUGAGAAUGCAAACCUCUCAUCGGAUGCCGUACUAGCUCUGAAAUGGAAACUCUGUGACGCCUACCGAGAGGAGGAACUUUAUUGGAAAUUGAAAAGCAAAGAAACGUGGUUGCAAGCUGGCGAUAGGAACACCAAAUUCUUCCACGCCACCACUAAGCAAAGGAAAGCGAGAAAUAUGAUUAUUGGGCUAUUUGACAAGGAUAACAACUGGAUUUCCAAAGAGAGAGACAUUGACUCUCUUGCGGUGGAUUAUUUUAAAACUCUCUUUGCAUCAUCCACCCCUAACGAUGUCCAAAAAGCGAUCCAGGAUGUCCCUGUGAGCAUCUCAGAGGAUAUGAAUCAUCGACUCCUAGCUAUUGUUUCUCUCGAAGAGGGUAAAAGAGCUCUUUUCUCGCUAAAUCCGGAUAAGACUCCAGGCCCUGAUGGGAUGACUGCCCUUUUCUACCAAAAAUUCUGGGAUAUCAUAGUGAUGAUAUGGUUAAGAUGGUCCAAGACUUCUUUACCUCUAGAAAUUUUGACAGAUCCCUUAAUGAGACGAAUAUCUGCUUGAUCCCCAAGACGGACCGGCCACGGUCUAUGACCGAAUUUCGGCCAAUUAGCUUAUGUAAUGUAAGCUAUAAGGUUAUCUCCAAAGUCCUUAGCAUCUGGCUAAAGAGAUUACUUCCAGACCUUAUAUCCGAGACCCAAUCUGCCUUUGUGGCAGGGCGGCUUAUUACGGACAAUAUCCUUAGUGCCCAGGAAAAUUUUCAUGCUCUCCGCACUAAUUCAUCGUGUCGGAAGAACUUCAUGGCCAUCAAAACCGAUAUGAGUAAAGCUUAUGAUCGUGUGGAAUGGCCCUUCUUGAGAGCUUUGAUGGGGAAAAUGGGUUUUGACCAAAAAUGGAUAAAUAUGGUCAUAUUAUGCAUAGAGUCGGUCUCAUAUAAAGUCCUCAUCAAUGGAUCCCCUCGAGGUCUUAUCCUUCCCUCAAGAGGAAUUCGUCAAGGAGAUCCAAUAUCCCCUUUUCUUUUUAUCCUGUGCACAGAGGCUCUCGUGGCCCAAUUAACGGAAGCGGAAUGGGCGGGACGUAUCCAAGGCCUCCAAUUAGCACGGGCUAGUCCAUCGACUCCACACCUCUUAUUCACAGAUGAUAGCCUUUUCUUCUGUCGUGCAACCCCAGACCAAGGACAUGAAAUUUUAAAUAUUCUCCGCUGUUAUGGCGAGGCAUCAGGGCAACAACUAAAUGCGUUAAAAUCCUCGAUAAUGUUUGGACAUGAAGUGGAUCCCAUUAUUCGCAAUGAUAUUAAGAAUACCCUAAAUAUUCAUCAGGAGGGUGGUAUGGGUACCUACCUUGGAUUACCUGAGAAAAUCCACGGUUCCAAAACCCAAGUUUUCUCCUUUGUGAGAGACCGUCUCCAGAGUCGUAUUAGUACCUGGUCGGUUAAAUUUUUAUCUAAAGGUGGCAAAGAAGUCCUUAUUAAAUAUGUCGCUCAGGCCCUUCCGACAUACGUUAUGUCGUGUUUUUUACUUCCAAAGGCAAUUCGUACUAAACUUAGUAGUGCCAUCUCAAAUUUCUGGUGGAGAUCCCGAGAAGAUAGCAGUGGCUUACACAGGUUAGCUUGGGAUAAACUAUGCACUCAAUUCUCUGAAGGAGGACUGGGUUUUCGAACUCUAGAGGAGUUUAAUCUCGCACUCUUAGCGAAGCAAUUUUGGAGACUCUUACGCUUUCCAAAUUCCUUAUUAAGUAGGGUUUUGCGAGGGCGAUAUUACCGCUAUAGCGAUCCUCUCCAGAUUGUGAAGGCGAACCGACCUUCCUAUGGCUGGCAGAGUAUUUUUGCCGCUAAACGAUUGUUAGUGUCCGGUCUUCGAAAGACGAUUGGAUCUGGUAUGGUUACCCGCGUCUGGGCGGACCCUUGGAUCCCGACGAUUCCCCCCCCCCCCCCCGCCCGGCAAAAAGUCUUCUUGGUAUAAGAGAUCCCCACCUUUAUGUCAAUGAUUUAUUGGAUCGAAAUACCCAGUUAUGGAACUUGUCCCGCCUUCAGGAGCUAGUGGCACCUGAGGACAUCCCGCUUAUUUUAGGUAUUCGUCCCAGUCGAACCUAUUUGACGGAUGGCUACAGCUGGGUGCAUACCAAGUCUGGUAAAUAUUCUGUCAAAUCAGGCUACUGGGCCGCGAAAGCUCUCUUUCGCCCUCCUUGUGACCUCCCUUCUCAGGGACCGAGUGUUGCAGCACUCCAGGCACAAGUAUGGAAAUCUAAAACCACACGGAAGAUUAAACAUUUCAUGUGGCAAUGUCUAUCUGGCAGUCUUGCUACAUGCCAACGUCUACACUACCGUCAUAUUGGAAGGGAGAAAGGAUGCCCCCGGUGCGGAGCAGAAGAGGAAACUAUAAAUCACCUCCUCUUUGAAUGUCCUCCGGCUCGACAAGUUUGGGCUCUUUCUCCCAUCCCAACCUCUGGGGACAUUUUCCCAAGAUUCACUCUAUUCAACAAUUUUGAUUUCCUCUUUUGGCGAGGUCAAGAAAGGGGAAUAGAUGUCACGCUAUUACAAGCCUUCCCAUGGAUUUUAUGGUACAUCUGGAAGGCCCGUAAUAGCUUUUUUUUUUAAAAUCUCCGGGUCCCUCCGGAUGAGACUCUACAAAUAGCACUUCAGGAGGCGCAGGUGUGGCAGAGAGCUAUGGAUAAGGAUUCUACGCCGGAACCGUCCUCUGCUAGCCCACCUCGACCUCGAGAUAUAGAUUCUACGGAAGUGGAAUGUCAAUGUGAUGCCUCCUGGACUCCAUCUGGAUCCUUAAGUGGUCUAGGAUGUGUUUUGGCAGAUUUGAAUAUAGUUCAUCACAUGGGACUUAGGAAUAUCCGUCGGAGUCUAUCACCCCUUCAUGCCGAGUUUGAUGCCCUACUUUGGGCAAUGGAAUGUAUGAUUAAAUUGGGGCACACAUCUGCUACUUUCGCCUUCGAUUUCUCUGAUCUUGUAGCUAUGGUGGAGAGUCCAUCAGAUUGGCCAACCUUUGCAGCAGAAUUGGCAUCUUUCAAGUCUCUCCAAGUUAUGUUCCCGUCUUUCCGCUUACGUCUUCUCCCCCAUCUAUCCAAUAUCCGGGCCGAUCAUCUUGCCAAAAAAGCACGAGGUCGCGAUUGCCUCUUCUCGCAUAUGAACACUUCGGCCCCCGACUGGCUCUCUUUAGCGGAGAAUCUCUUUCCGAAAGUGUCAUAGCAUAGUUUUCUUUUGCCGACAAAAAAAAAAGGAUAAAAAUAUUACGUGAUAUUGUUGCAUUAGAUUUAUAGUAUUAUAAUAUAAUAAUUAUUAAGCAUUACAUUAUUGAGUAUUUACAAACUUUGGACCCAGAAGAAGAAAUAUUUAACUGACACACGAGGCUACUGUUGAGGUAGUACUGUUUAUCAAUUUAUGUCUCAUUUGCCCAUAUACAACCGCAUUCAGUGAACAGAUUAACAUUGUAAAUGAUCAUGUGUCAGACCCUAGGCAGACGAAUUUAAAUGUAUUUUCUAUUUUUUUAAUGAUGAACCUUUGUAUCGGUAAACGUGUUAUUGUUGCUAAAACACGAAACAUCGCUCCUCUUUCAUUUUAUAAACCUUCAUCGGCCGUCGACUUCAUUCAUCAUUAUUCACAUAAGAUUUAUACACAUUCUCGCCAAAUUAGUUUUUGUUGAAAUCACUUGAAGGCUUUGAGGACAGAGCGGAAGGUUGGUGGUUGUAUAUCUUGGGUUUUUUGUUUUAGUUUUAGUGGUCUAACAUUGCUAUUUUCUAAAAAUUUCAAGAUGGAACCGAUUGACAUUCCUAAUUGACUUAUCACAUACGGCAAAGAACCUUUGGGUGAGAGGGUUAAUGUCUAUCAUAAGAUGAAACCUUGCUUCGCAUUACAAACGCGCUUACGGAGGAGAAACUUCAGAAAAUUAGGGCUUCCUCAUUGGGGAGAUUGUUGGAUUUCUUAACCAGCCCAACUAGUCGUCCACCUUCGGCCUCUUUCUUUUGGGUAGAUAGUUGGAUGUUGCUAAAUCGAACAAGAUCUAGGUUAUUUUUGCUGGGACUCCAAUUUAGUUUUUGUUGAGAGAGUUUAAACUAGUGAUCGGGUUGCCUUGUGGCAAAUUUCCCAAAAAUCAGUAGAAAAGGAGGAGGGGUACUAUGGGUAAGAAGAUUCCCUAUUACAACAUCCUUUUCGGCCCCGAGAACGAUGUUACCGUAGAACGGGUUAUCCACAUCCUAAAGAAAAGGUAGUGAUAGAUGUCGAGUUGCGACUUAGAUAUGAGUAUUUGGCCCUUGUCGACGGGUUUUUGCUACCAACAUCACACCACUCCAAGAUAUCGAAGGACCACUCCAAGCUUUGUGAAAACCUUGUUUCAUUUCUCGCUUAUCUGUGGGGCCGAUUAUCUUUUGAGAUGUCCAUCACGUCGAUCAAAGAGAGAGAUGUUGAACAGCUUGCAACCAUGUCGGUUAUAGUCCAAGGAUAACUCUACGUGCUGCAGCUGGUUGUUUUGCAAGCCGUUCUGGCGAUUCAGAAAGGCCAUGUAUUAGACGACACGGUUUAUUCUGAUUCCGAGGAAGAGGAUUCCCCAAGAAGGCAGGUGGUGCAUCUGAAACUCGGGAACGCCAAAGACAUUGACGAGAAAUGCAUGGUAAGCAUCUUAGAUUUGAUUUUUAAAAUGAAUUGCCCGUUAAAUUGGUUAACUGUUAUGUAUCCCGUUAACUUUUAUUUUGAAUCAGUUGAUAGAUGGAUAUUUAGUUAGCACGUAAUCAUAAAUAUAGUUGUUUUCUUUUUUCUUACCUUGAGAUAUAUAUUUAUAACCUACUGUUCUACAGGAUCAUGUAGAUCCAAUAAUUCUCCCGAAUGUAGAGUUGGAUCACGAUGUCGAAGAUUAGUCAUGGUCUGAUGAUGAAGAAGACCUGAAAGUCAAAAACAUGGUUCGGCUCGCCGAACAAGGUUUUAAUUUUUCUAAUGCUAUGUCCCAAGGAAGUUGUAUUCCAUCUAAGGUGGAAGUGGUACCAAAUAAACCCAGGAAGGAGCUAAAAGUUAAGGCUUCUCGUGGAAGGAAAUUGACCAAUCAGCAAAGGAUCCCAGCCGCCCCUCCAGGUACCAGUGCAUCUGCCAAUUCAUUUGCCCCCACAACUACCGGGGUCAUCGAUAUCAAGACGUUAUCUACUCUAUUGGAUGCUAAGCUUUUUGGUCACGAUCAAAGAAUAAUUGAUGGCGUCAUCAACUGGUUUAAACAAAACACCAUUAUAUCCGCCGAGCCAGUCUCUACCCACGAUGAUUUUAUGGAAGCCCCAUCGAGGAAUAAAAAGUUAACAUCCUCCAGUUGAUAAUGCGAUCCCCCGGGCUUAAAAACAUUUUACAAGUGGGUCUUCAUAAGAUCCUACCCUUGGGAACCAUUCCAAUAAUGAGACAAGUGGCAUUCCCUCCUAGACAGGUAUAGAUCUUAAUCUAGUCCCCACAGAGGCGGAAGAGAUUAAUCAUGAUGAUCCCAGUCUACCGACGAUUGAAGUUUCUACGGUUCCUCUUACUACAAUCGAAGAAGUGGUGGCCUUUUACAACCCUGGCAACCAGCUUGCCCAAGGAUCUAAUAGCGAGUCAGCAAACAAUGUUAUUGCCUAACUUUGUUAUCAUCUUCUAUAUUACUUACGAUUACUGCCUGGGUGAAGAUUUGUUUAUCUAUUUUGGUGUAGGAGGGCGGCGUAGAUGAACAUGACCAGGUGGGGGAUCGCACCAUGGUUAGUUUUUAGCCCAAAGCUGGAUUUUCAAAUUACGGUUUUCACCUUCAUACCGGGCAAAUAAUGUUAUUAUGUAACAUCUCUGUCGUAAGCUGUAUUAUUUUAUCGGUUGAUGCUGGUUUGAAGAUUCGUCUGUUUAUUUUGGUGUAGGAUUCUGACGUAGGCAAGGAGGACCAUUAUGGGGUUCGUGCUAUGGUUAGUGCUCAGUUCACUGUAGAAAUAGUUAUAUAUUUUGUUUAUGUGAAAGUACACGGUAACAUGAUUUAGCAAAUGGUAUUAUUAGCAGGUACAAUAUGAAAUUAAUUAUGGUCUUAUUACUCUAGCUAUAACGUCUUUUAUUCUCGUGGCCAGGAAGAAGACCCAAUUGACGGCUAUAUCAUUGCCGACACCCAACUUGUUGCAGCUUCAUUGGAGGUUUUGUUAUUCCACUGUUAUUUUUUUUUACUCAAAAUAUCUUCUUAUUUAGCAAUCUAAGUCUUCAGAAACGAUUUUGGGUCAAACCCCACCGGUUCAGCGUUCCUUAACAAGGUUUUCCCUGACCAGCUCUUCUUCAUCUUGAUAGAUCAUUUAUGGGUUGCGUACUAGUGCACGAGACCACUAAAUAAUUUGUUAUCUGAUAAAUAAUAUUUGAUUUUCUGCAUUGUUUACACAGCCCCAUGUCGCCCUUAAUAUGGAACACCCACUACCCAGCCCCUGUUUUGCUGCCAUGGAGGUAAUGCUAUAAACUGUGUCAACUGUGUCGUGGACAUAUAUUUGGAAAGCGACUCACAUUUAAAUUUCUAAAUGUCAUACCCCGUUAACAAAUUUUAUCGUCUUCUAAUUGAUUGUGUAUAUACUCGAUUUUUUUGUUACACAUUAAUUAUUAUGCUAACAAUCCAGAAUCUUACUACUAUAACAACUCAGAAGAGUUUGGGUGGGCAAACGGCCGAUAUUGGUCAGCAGGCGAGGAUGAGGUUAUUAUCUUUAGAACCUCUGUUUAUAUUAUUACUGAAUAACUUACUUAUAUGAUAACUUAAUCUGGAUUGAACGUCUUACCCAGUUAAUAAAAUUAUCGUCUACUAAUAUAAAGACUAUGGUAAUUCUCUCUUUAUUCGGUAGGACACUUCCGAGAAACACAUGGGUUCCAAGAUAACUUUUGGUGUAGAAGUAGAGGAGGUAACUAGUACUAGAAGCAUGUUCUAUAUUAGUUAUCCAUCGUGUGUCUAUAUACUUGAUAUUUUUGUGUAACAUUAAUUGUUAUGUUAACGCUAUAACAUCGUAGAACAGCGUGGAUGUGGAAACGACCGGUAUCGGUUCUAAAGGCGAGAAGGUUAUUAUCAAUAAAAGCUAUUUUUUAAAUAUUAUUGAAUAACUUAAUUAUAUGAUAACUCAAGUGUGGCAUAUUAUCUACUAAUUAUACUGUUAACUGAUAAGUAUUAUGUUACCCAUUUAGUCAACUUCUUUGAUAUGUGUUCCAAUGCCAACAACGUUUCUUUUGGUAUAUUAUUUUAAUUAUUUUCUUACCAAAUUACCGUUAUCUUAUCUAAUAACAUAUCUUUACGUUUAUUUGAAGUUGUGUGUUACAGCGGCCAAGGGAAGUACCGGUGGGGAGGUUUGUCGCCACCGGCCAAGGGAAUAUCAUUGUAGUCUUAGUUUAACAGCUUCGAAAUUCUUUUGAGUUUUAAAAUUCAAAAUGCAAAUGAAUGGGAAAUUUUUACCAGGAUGAGGCCGCGACACGUAGUCCGGUUGUGAUCCAUUUUCUUGCAGCUUGUGCAGCGAAUGCGCGAAGUUUGCUAUUCAAAUGAUAAGAUAAUAACGUUAUUGGCUAACUAUGAAAGUAUGAACUAACCUUGAACUCUCCCCUUGAGAUUAUUCUCAAUUUUCUAGGACGGCCUGGAGGCCUCCUGACAAACGGUGGGGCCAACUUUCCACCUCCUAUGUCAUUUGGUGAAGGAGAAAAGGUAGCCAUGUCUGGGACUGGCAUGAUCAUUUCUUUGUAACCCAACCUCAAACCGUGAAAGUUUUGUUUGUACCCUACCAAGGUGUCAAACUUUUUGCGUUCUUAUAUCGCAACCACUAUUGCGUGUGUGCAAGGAAUUGUUAACAUCUGAAACACAAGGCAAGUACAUGUUCGCUCCCAUAACUGAACAACAAAAGCCUGAUUGCCAUGUUCACGUACCUCGUAUUAUGCCCAUCCCCAAUCUUGUACACGGCAUAUCCGGUUCGUUUUUCGUAAUUCUCAAUGACCAUUCAUGGACCUUGAGUGGCAAUGUAUUUUGCUCCAGCAGUGCUGCAAUGCGACGGAGGGCAAACCAUGUUACCAAUAUUGGACAUAUGGUUUCUAGGAUUGAAAUCACCGGGUAAUCGCGUGCCAUUUCAAGAAAUCGUUAAGCGACUAUGCGAUGUUGCUUGUCAUAUCAUUGAAUCGAUCUCCCACGAAUGCGAUCUUGUCCAAUCUCGAACCCAAUGCCGGUAAGGUAAUAUGCACACGCAAGAUUCAUUGCUUUGAUUUCUGCAAAAAUACGGUUGAAAUCACCAUGUCUAUAGACUCUAGCUGCACUUGACACCAAACAGAUCAGCGGCUCCGAUUUGAAAAUGGAGAUUAUGUUUCUCUUAAGAUGGACAAGGCAGAGGGUGUGGAAAGCCAUGGGGUAUACCUGUGGAAUGUGUAUUCAAACAUGUGUCAAUUAGGUCAGCAUGAGAUAAAUAAAUUAACACAUUUAGCCAAUAAAUGAUUAUUAAGUAAGUUAACCAAUAAGUUUUCUGUUACUAUUUACACCCAAUAUAAACUUGUAGGCCUGGGCGUUCGGGUUCUGGUCGGGUAUUUCGGAUUUUCGGAGUUUCGGGUUUAUAGAUAUAGAACCCGUUCGGGUAUUUUUAGAUAUCGGGUUCGGUUUCGGAUUACUCGAAAUUCUCAAAGUUCAAAAUUUGAAUAUCCAAAUAUGUCCAAACUACUAAAAAAAUUUCAAAACCUACAUAAAACUUAAAUUUAUUUGAAAAAGAUUUUAUAACUUUAAAACAAUCAAAAUAUACAAAAAAUGGAUAAUUUUGACACUUGAUUAUUACAAAUAGAUAUAUAUUAUUAAUAAAUUAUUAUUAUAUAUUUAUAUUAUGGGUGUAUUUGGAUCGGAUUCGGAUUCGGAUUCGGAUUUUUGGGUUUAGAGAAAUAGAACCCGUUCGGGUAUUUCUAGGUUACGGGUUCGGUUCGGAUCGGGUUCGGGUCGGAUUUUCGGGUCUGAGUAUUUUGCCCAGGCAUAUAAACUGGUUAUAUUUUCAGUUCCAAUUAACAAUAUACACGACUUAGCACUAUUACAAGAAGUAGAAAAUGGCGACUAAUUAUCAGUUCAAGUUGUGAAGACCACGUAGCAAUUAACUGUUAUGAUAUAUAUUCCCCUAUUACCCAUAAACUCUAUGACCUGCUAAUGUUUUCAUGAUCAAUUAACAAUCUAAUGACUAACAACGUAGUACAAAUACAUAGAGUAUGCAAUGCUAUAAUAUGUUUUCCCUUAUUACCCAUAAACAACCUUAACGAUUAAGUACCAAUACAAGUGCAUGUUGUGGGGGAUCACACAUUCGAUGGAUGGUAAACUUUAUAAUCCUAUCACGAUUUUGUUAGCGGAUAUAUUGAAUGCAUUUGCGAUAAGACAACGUUUCGUUUACCACUCUAACUAGUUCAUUAUCAUAAUAAGGAGAUUUCAGGUUGUAGGGUAUUACCUUUCAGAUACUCUCAUAAAUCGAAGAAUGCAUGUCUGACACGAACACCAGCUCAGGUUCGUCAGGCACAACCGCUAUAAGCUUCUCCAUGAACUAAGUCGAGGCUGCGUCGUUUUCACUGUUGACGAUUCCAAAUGCUAGGGGGAAAACCUGGAUGUUGGCAUCUUGGGCGCUAGCUGCAAUCAAGCACCCACCAUUUCAUCCUCUGAGAUGGGUUUCAUCGAUAACAAACACUUUGUGCAUGAACUCAUAUCCUUUAGUCGAGGCGCUAAAUGAGAAGAACAUGUAUUUGAAUGUAUCCACGCUAGCGCUAUCCUUCUCUAUCUCAAGGAUGAAAAUGGAAUUUUGAUUUGUUUUCAAGAGUAGUUUGAAAUAAGGCUGGAUCAAGGCAAAACUCCCCGUCGCCGAACGCAUUGCAUUAUCCAUAGCUAUCUCCCGCGCUCGCCAUGCCUUCCAAUAAGAAAUGUUUAGGCUGAACUCUUGGUGGAGUAUCAUACGCACCUCAUUGGGUCGUGUCCCCCUUCCAACACUUAGGGGUCGCGUUCUCAUUAGUUUGACAAUCACCGCUGUAACACCCGUGUUCGGAAAUGGGUGGUGUCGAUCAGUUUGAUUUUAAUUGCAAAAUUGAUUGGAGUUGGGUUGGUUAACCCUAGGUCGUAUUUUAAAAGGAAGAGGAGUCAAGUUUUGUUCUUUUCAGCCGCUUUUUAACAUUCAUGAGAGAAUGAAAAGUUUCUAAAGUUUCUGAGGGUUCUGUGAAGCUUUUUGGUGGUGUCUGGUGACUGAUCUUGGUGGGUUAAGGCUAGUGGAGGCUAGAUCCAUGGUUGUUGGUGUUAGAAGAGCUAGAUCCUUCCUUGUUCUUCUUUGUUUCCGUGUUGAAUGAUCCCUGUGUGUGGUUGUUUUUGUGUUGAAUGAUCCCAGUGGAACCUUUUGAAGACUCGCUCAUAGCAUGUGGGUGAUUUGAAGUGGAGAUCCAGUGAGAAAACGCAGCUGGAGCGACUACAUAGUGUUGGUGUCGAUCGACACUAAUGGUGGGUGUCAGUGUCAAUCGACACCAAUGGUGGGUGUCGUUCGACACCAAUGUUUUGUUCCGCGAGGAUAUCUGCGACUCGCAAUUAGAGUGUCGAGCUCGGUUGUGCAGCUAGUUAUUUGUCGAUUGGGUUGGUUUAUUUUUGAUCUUUUCGCUUAAUCGUUUUGUUCUGUUAAUUGGUUUAAAUUGAUUAUGACCGGUUUAGAUGGUUUAAAUUGAUUUAGUCCGGUUUAGUUGGUUUAGCUGGUUGGGGUUAAUCUGGUUUGCAUGCUUAAAAAAAUAUAAUUUGAAUCUUUUCAGUUUCGUAUCAGAGCCCUUACGGUUCUGGGGCGGGGUUAAAUUGGUGAAUGUGAAGCGAUGUAUGAAUCUUGUUGUUGCUAAGUUAUGAUGUGAACUGCAUGCUUGAUUGAUUAUGUGUGUUUAAUCAAUUGUGUGGGCAUGGAGACCUAGAUCAUCCUUUCAAGCCUCAAUGAGAUUGCACGGUAAGUUGUAUGUUUAUUGUUAAAGUUUUAUGUGCUUAGCCUUCUAUUGUACAGUAGAUGGUUAGAGGUGGAGCUGCUGGUCGUGGGCGUGGUCGCGGUAGGGGGCAUUGUGUUGCCUCGGGUGGCGUGGACCAGAGUGCUACGGCCGAGCAUGUUAGCGAUGCUCUUGGGAGGCAGCUUGCUGGAAACCCGGUUGGGGUGUUCUAAUAGGUGGGGCCCAGGGUCAGAAUGAUCGAAUUGCGGAUCUGCCGACACAGCUUUUAGAGUGGUUAUCUGGAGCGGUACCAGCGCAUGCUUUAGUUGGACCACGAGGGGUGGCGGGAGUGUAGCCUAUUGCGCUAGAUAGGCCUGAUGUGCAGCCCGGUGUCAGGGAUGUGAAACCAGAGGGGGUAGGUCCGGUUAUCGAGCAGCCGUACUACACGCAGAUGAUGGAGCAGUUGCAGAGGUUCGGGGUUGAUGGUGUGGGGGGACUUAUUGGCAGAGGUUAAUGCCAAGUAGUUUCCGGUGGAGGCACUAGACCGGAUGGAGUCGCAGUUUCUGGCGUUGACUUAGGGAGUGCGAUCAGUGCGGGAGUUUAGCAGACUCUUUGUGUACUUGGGUCGUGCGGGAGAUCCGAAGCAGAUGCAGGUGCGUCGGUUCAUGAAGGGUCUCAGUCAUGAUAUGAGGGUGCGGUGCAAGGUGCAAACCUAUGCAUCGCGUAUGCAACUGAAGAAGGCCUAGCCGCAGUCAGGUCCGAGCAGGGGCGGCAAGCUUGCUCAGUGACAGAAUAGGAAGUGGGAUGAUGCUUCCAGGGCAUGUCAAGGUGGUUGGGGAUGCUUUGGGUGCGCGAGCAUGGAUCACAAACAGGCGAGCGGCCCGAAGAAGAGCGAACCGCGUGUGGAGACUUGUGUCAUUUUCCACUGCAAGAAAAUGGGGCACAUCAAGACGCAGCAAAGGUGAUAGCAGCUGUGCAGUCGGGGGUGCAGCACUGGGUGCAGCCGGGGGUGCAGCAGAUGGUGCAGUUGGGGGUGCAGCAUUCGGUGCAGCCGGGGGUGCAGCAGUCGGUGCAGCCGAGAGGGCAGCCGUGGGCUCAGCUGGGUGGUAAUAUCCGAGGAGAUCCUGGUGGUUAUUUCAGUGCCGUUAAAGUCCUGGGAGGUGCGUUGUUAGCGGUUCAAGGACGGGCUAGUUGUGUAGAUGUGCAUAUUGCGGGAGAGUCGAUGCCGAUAGAUCUGUACAUUAGUCUCGUUUAGUUGUAUGUGUAAUUCUGGGCAUGGAUUGGUUGGAUUAACACAGAGUUCAUCUGGAUUGUCACCAGGGGAGAGUCUACUUCGAGCAGGUGGAGAAGAUAAUUAAGAAGGGGUGGGAGAGUUAGCGGUGAGUAAGAUUCAGGUGGUCCAAGAAUUCGAGGACGUGUUUCAAUUGUCGUUGUCUAAGGAUUCGUACCGGAUGGCUCCAGCAGAGAUGGCCAAGCUGAAGAAGCAGUUGGAGGAUCUGCUUAGUAAGGGUUUCAUCCGUCUAAGUGUUUUACCGUGGGGAUCACCAGUGUUGUUUGUUAAGAAGAAGGAUGAGAUUUUUCGGCUUUGCAUCGAUUACCAGGGACUUAACUGAGUCACAGUUAAGAAUAAGUAUCCCUUACCGUAGAUUGACAAGUUGUUAGUCUAGUUGAUAAGAGCUACGUGGUUCUCUAAUAUUGAUUUGGCGUCGGGGUACCAUCAGAUUUCUAUUGACGAGGCGGAUAUCCGUAAGACGGUGUUAAUGAUAAGGUAUGGCCAUUAUGAGUUUGUGAUGAUGUCUCAGAUUGACAAAUGCACCAGCGGCGUUCAUGAGGCUGAUGAACAGCGUGUUCUAGAUGUAUUCUAAUAGUUUUGAGGAGCACAAGGGGGACUUGAGGGUAGUUCUGGAGAAGUUGCGGGAGCAAAAGCUGUAUGCUAAGCUGAGCAAGUGCAGUUUCUGGCAGAGAGAUAUGGGUUUUCUGUGUCACAUUGUGUCCGCAGAGGGAGUUUCUGUGGAUCCAGAGAAGAUCGAGGCUAUCAGAGAUUUGCCUAGACCGCAAUGCCACAGAGAUUCAGAGCUUUCUGGGAUUGGCGGAGUUUUUCGUAAAGGGUUUCGCAAGCAUAGCUCAACCGAUGACUGCGCUGACGGGGAAGGAUGUUCCUUUUGUGUGGACUCUUGAGUGUGAGCAGAGUUUUUCUAAGCUCAAAGAGAUGUUGACGAGUACGCCGGUCUUGGCUUUACCAGAGCAGGGGGAGCCGUAUGUGGUGUACACGGAUGCUUCAGGAGUUGGUUUGGGUUGUGUGUUGAUGCAGUAGGGUAAGGUGAUUGCAUAUGCUUCGCGGCAGUUGCGGAAGCAUGAGGGCAAUUACCCUACUUAUGAUUUGGAGAUGGCAGCGGUAGUCUUUACUCUGAAGAUUUGGAGACCGUACCUGUAUGGAGCGAAGGUUCAAGUGUUUACAGAUCAUAAGAGUCUGAAGUACAUAUUCACGCAGCCAGAGUUGAAUUUGAGGUAGAAGCGGUUGAUGGAGUUGGUUGUGGAUUAUGAUCAGGAAAUAGCUUACCACCCCGGUAAAGCUAAUAUGGUUGCAGAUGCUCUGAGUAGGAAGCGGGCGGCUUUAGCUCGAGGGCAGGAUAUGGAAAUCUUGGUGGGUGAAAUCAGCACCUUCCGGUACUAUUCUUGUGCAUGGGAGGGUUUCUGUGCCCAAGGAUGAGAGUUUGAGGCGGGAGAUUCUGAUUGAGGCUUAUGAAAGCAUGUUCUCUAUUCAUCCACGAGCGACAAAGAUGUAUAGAGAUCUGAAGAGGUACUAUCACUUGGUUGGGAUGAAGAAGGACGUUGCUAAGUGGUUGUCUGAGUGUGAUGUGUGUCAGCUAGUGAAGGCUGGCAUCAGGUGCCAAGCGGGCUACUGUAGAGUCUUCCUAUUCCAGAGUGGAAGUGGGACAUGAUCACGAUGGAUUUCGUGGUAGGUUUGCGAGUGUCUCGGUUCAAGGAUGCCAUAUGGGUUAUUGUGGAUCGUUUGACCAAGUCUGCACAAUUCUUGGCUAUCAAGAAGACUGAUGGAGCGGCAGUGUUUGCCAAGAAGUAUGUGCAGUAGAUUGUGAGACUUCAUGGAGUACGAGCCAAGUAUUGUGCCAGACCGGGAUUCGAAGAUUCUUUUGAUGAGAGUCCAAUGGGACUGUGAUGGAGUCUUGGAGGAGACUUGGGAGCCAGUGGCCAUGAUGAAGACAAGGUUGCAGAAGUGGUUCGACAAGCAAGUCGAAGAGUAGACUAUUGGUCUUGUUUUUUUUUUAGUUUGGUUUUGGAUGUAAGUCUUUUGUAUUUUCGUUUUGGUUGUAACGAUUAUGACAUUGGAUUUUAGUAAGAUGAGUAUUUCUUGGAUUUGACUUGUUUGUGUCAUGAGUGAAGAAAUAUGUGUGAGUUUCUAAAAAUAGAAAGUGAAGAAAUAUGUGUGGUUAGUAUAGCAUUGCGAUGCUAUAAGAGAACCACAUGAGGUAUAUAAAAGCUCAAUAUUUUUAUGUGAAUACUAUACCCCAAGUAUUUUCUUAGCAAAGUAGUAUAUAAGGAUUACCGAAAACAUUAAUUUAAAAUGAAUGAUGUUAUUUUGAAAAUUAAAAAAAAAAUAAUUAACAUCAGAAAUGAAAUAACUAGAGAGACCAAUUAAAAAAAUAUAUGUAUUAAACGUUCAAAAAAUAAUAGAUGAUGAAUUUUUAGGUUUUUUCCUUUUUUUUUUUUAUGGGUACUUCAGCUUUAAUAGUAUAGAUAAGAGAACAUCACAAAUGUAAUAAGUAAAGAAUAUCAUACUCCAAAAGAUUAAUCUCUCAGAAAACAGAAUUGUUUCAGUUAAACCUCUUCUUCCGGAAGAUGGCGACACAUGUUGAUGGAAAAUAUUGGGAGAUGGAGAACCGGAUAUCGACAAUGAUCGAUGGUUGAGAACUUGAGAAGAUAAAACGAAAUUAUGGAACUAAGAAAAUAUUAUUCUAGAAAAUUUGUGAUAAAUAUAAACAUUACGUUUAGAAAAAUUAACAUUAUCAUUUGUUUAUCCUAAUCUCUAUAUAAGAGAAGGUAAGUUGUAACACUAAAUGGAUGAGAGUCUAAUACAAUUCUAUUUUUAAAUACUUUUGUGUUAUUUACUCUCAUCAAUUUAUGUUGAUUCUUGCUGAUCAGUGGUUGAGAAAAUUUCCACUACUCUUAGCUGCUCUGUUGAAUGAAAAUGCACGCCAAGUGUUCGAUGUAAUGCCUCUGAAGAACGAAAAGAUAGAAACAAACAAGAAGAAGAUGACGAUCUUUCAAGCUAUCAACUCUUGUAAGGACAUCAAUGGAUAAUAAGCUUCGAUCCCAUGUCUAUCUGGUGUUCAAUAGCGUGUUUCUUAGAAAGUCUUUGAAAUCUUGCAUAUUUAGAUAGUAUAGGUCUGAAAUGGCAGAACUGGUGUUGAUUUACAUGCAGGGUGGUAAUACAAGGAGCAUUAUACUAAUCUUCUAUAGUUAUUUGCUGCAACAAAUUGGAGUAUACAGAUGAACCUUAAGAAUAUAAAAACCAUGGUAUUUUCAGAGUUUUGCUGUCUACAAAGAAUGAUGGAAUCGUAUCGGGUAGUUCUGCUGCACAAAUUAUUGCGAUUUUAGCUUGACGAAAAGCUGAAACUCCACGGAGGAAGUAGUGUAUCGAGGGCAUCGGGCUGGGAAGCUUAUGGAGGGAAUGGGGAGAAGAAACACGCUGAAACUGUGGAAAUCAAUUACAAGAACAAGACUAAUUUGAUAUAAGAAGUGACUAGAUAGUUAUACAAACAAGAUAUAAGAGUUCUGGCUCAAUGGAGGGUCUACGUUUAGGCAAGCAAGUAUGAAGAAAGGCUUUACAAUCAUUGUGAUGAAGCUGAGUUUACAUUGAGGUCAAGCUGAGUUUAGCGUAGGAGUAUUUGAUAAGCACAACUAUUAGUGGUAUAUUUAGUAGUGGGUGGGAUAAGAAUGAGAAGUCUUGUUAGUUGUUUUGUUAGGAUAAGAGAGUUAGGAGAUCUCUACCACAAAGUCCCAAGAUAGUUUAGGUUCUUGAUUGUAAUCUUGAUUUAAGGAUAAGAAAUACAGUUUCUUUACUUGUUUGUUCUCAGUCUGGAAUUUUCUUUUCUUAGUGCCACUAUAUAUAUAUGGUCAGUAUAACUUUGAUCACCAUUUUGUUUUUUUAUGAUUGUUGGCAUUUUAAUUGUUACAAUGAGAGCAUUAAAAGCAUUUAAUCAUACCACUAUCAACAGCAGGAGUGGAGCUUAAUUUGAGGUUGUUGUUAUUGCUCUGUUCCAUUUUCUCAUCACCUGAAUAUAUAAAUUAAGUGCCCUAUGUGAGGUAUUCUACAGGCAGAACCUUCCCAAUGUGACAAAAUCUGGUUAUCAAACUCUUGAUAUGUCUUAUCUUGAUUUACGUUCAAGGUUUCAAAGCUUUUUUAUCCAUCAGCGAAUGCUUGUAACUAACAUGGGUCUUAACCUAUCAAAUUAUUUUACACCUUUUACGAGCCUAUCAUCUUGCAGUCUGAUCUUUUCUCCAACGUAAUUCGUUUCUUACUUGGAUCUUGUUAUGAUAUGCAUUGCAUGUUCUGUUAUGCAUAGAGGAGAAAUUAUGGAAAUGUUACGAGUCAUAAGAUUGGUUUCUUUCUCUCUUUUCAAGUUCCAUAUUUGUCUAUAAGACUUCCCUCACUCACAUCUGAUAAUCAAGUUAUUAUAAAUGCAAUCUAUAUGAUCCAUCGGACGAUAACCUCGAAGGUUUCCUCUGCAAGUGGUUUUCGUGACGUAAGCUGGUGAAAAAAGCGAUUUUCGUUUACAGUUCUUCUAGCCACCGCUCAGCUUCAUCUCUCCGAUGACUGAGGCUUCUCCUCCUCUUCCCCUACCGGUUCCACCAGAUCCGACUCUUCUUCUCCCUGGUUCUAUCUCGUCGGAUCAGUUUCCUCAUCUUCUCGAUGUGGUGAUGUCAGAUCUCCCUCUUUCUUCCUCUCUACCUCAGGCAAAUCAAAAAAAUCAUACUACUCGCUCUGAUAAUGGUAUUCACGGAGCGGCCCCUCCUUCUUUAGUCAGGAAAAUUUCCUCUGUUCCCCAAUCUGUCUCUACUGGCGCCUCUUCUUCACCAAUAUCUAAACCUCGAGUCUCUGAUUCAGGUUUUAAUUGGGCAAAAAAUCUUACCUCUGUAGAUAAAUUCCCUGUUUCGUCGGCUCCUAUUUCAAUUUCAGUUGAAGGUCGUCCUCGUGUUAAGGUUUCAAAUGAUGUGUUUGAAAGAGGAGCUAAACUUCAUGAAGAUUUCAUUGUAGGAAUUUUCUAUGGAAAGACUCUAUCUUAUGGAAAGAUAUGGGGUGUUUUGAACUUUCUAUGGGGGAAAGAUAAACGUGUUACGGUCCAUAAUUUGACCAAGAAUGCUUUUCUCUUUUAUAUUCCCUCUCCUUCUCUAAGGAAACGAGUGUUGCAACAAGAAUUAUGGCAUGUAGGUGACUCCCCAUUCUUUGUCACGGCAUGGAAAUCAGAAUUCAGCUAUAAUCCACCUUCUUUAGAAAAAGCUCCGGUUUGGGAGUGCAUAUAAGAUAUACCUUUUGAUCUAAUAACUCAGGAGGGUUUAAGUAUCAUUUGUAGGCCACUAGGAAGAGCGGUAGACCAUAAGCCUUUCAGUAGCAUCAGUUGAGCUGAGGUAAAAGUCAUUGUGGAUCUUACGCAGCCUCUUCCACCUAUGCUGGAGCUUGAGCGUGAGGAUGGUCAAGUCUUGACUCUGAAAGUCACUUAUCCUUGGCUUCCACCUCUAUGUCCUCUCUGAAACGAAAUAGGGCAUAAGGCUGCUUUUUGUCCAACAGCUCCUCAAUCUGAGUUGACUUCUUCAAAGGUAGUUAAGGAGAAGAUUUCCACAUCUUAUGUUGAGAAGAAGCAGAUAUGGAAACCUGUUCCUAGUGGUACUGCUUCUGGGGAUAAAGGUGUUUCAGUUGAUAUAGAAGCCUCCACGGUUCAGGUAAAAGAAGUUUUAUCUCCUUUCUCUACAGAAAUCCACUCUCCUUCUGUUGAGGUUAAAAGUCCAACAGAGUUAGAUACUCCUUUUAAUGGACAGAGUGGUCAAGAUUCAGUACCUAACCACAUCAUCAAUUCAGUUGGUUCAGAUGUAGUUCAGUCCAGUUCUAAUCAGUCUUCUGAAGCAGUUAUUCAAGGUAUUACCUCCUGUGCUUCUCUUGUGGUUGUUCCUCCGUCUACUACUACCUCAAACCGUUUUGAUAUGCUAUCUUUAGAGGACAAUGCUAUUAUGUUAGAUGAUGAGUCUUCUUCUAUGGUUAUCUACGGUUCUUCUUCUUCUUUGUUAUCUUCCUCCAAAGGGAAAAAGAUGAAGAGAAAGAGAUUUGACCUUCCAUCACCUACUCCAGGUGGCGUUCUCUCUGAUCAAGGAGGGAAGCGUCACACCCCAUAAUAUGUUUAUAUGUCGAGUAACUUUUUUUGGAAUGUGCGAGGUCUUAACGAAUCGUCAAAGCAUCGACCUCUUAGCAACUGGCUUCAUGUUCAUAAAGUUACCUUUGGAGCCCUUUUGGAGUUGCAUGUUAAAGAAGCAAAUAAGAACCAUAUUUUCUCUACUUUUGGUUCAGGAAGGACCCUUUUAUCUAAUUACCAGUUCUCAGACUUGGGAAGGAUAUGGAUCAUUUACAAAGCACCUACUAGAGCACGAGUUCUUUAUGUGGAUCUUCAGUCAAUUACUUGUGAAAUUUUGUUGGAGGAUGGAACGGACCUCAUUUAUACAGCGGUUUACGCUUCGAAUGAAGAGGAAGAAGGAAAAAAGCUUUGGUUUUCUCUUCGAAGUACUGAAGCAAAUUUUGGUUUAUCAAACAGGCCAUGGAUGGUUAAUGGAGAUUUUAAGAUCCUUUGUCCAGCUGAAACCUCCAAUGCUAUUAUUGUUUGCUCGACAAGAGGAAUGAGGAUGUUUGGUGAUUGCCUAGCAGAUUUAGGCCUCUUUGAUCUCCCCUUUAGUGGACCUAGAUUCACUUGGACAAAUAAAAGAUCUGUAGAUCCUAUUGGGAAGAAAUUAGAUCGAUGCUUGGUGAAUGGAAGUUGGCUAACAAGUUUCCCAAAUAGUCAUUGUACCUUUGAGGCUCCGGAGUUUUCAGAUCAUACACCUUGUCAUAUUCAGCUCAACACUCCUCCUCCUUCUUAUGGUACCAGGCCAUUCAAGUUUUUCUCCCUCUUAACAAAACAUCCGCAGUUUUUGGAUUCAAUGAGGAUAGCUUGGGCUCAGGUUGGAGUUUCAGUCUCUUCUCCUAAAGACUUUUGUUUCAAGCUAAAACAGAUGAAAGGCCCGGUAAAAUCUUUGAUGAGGGAUAAUUUUAGUGAAUUAGAGAAGCGAGUAGUUGAGGCUCAUGCUAAGCUUAAUCCUCUUCAGUUAUUAGCUUUGAAUGAUCCUUCUCCCGUCAAUCUUCAGAAUAAAACUUUAGCAAAGGAAGUAUGGGUGCAUCUUAGUAUUGCGGAGGAAAGCUUUUUUAAGCAGAAGUCUCGUCUCAAGUGGUUGGGCGAGGGUGAUUAUAACACUUCUUUCUUCCAUAAGGUCUUUACGGCCAGAAAUGCUGGGAAUGCCAUAAAGUUCUUGUUGAAACCAGAUGGUUCUGCUACUUCUUCCCUUCAGGAAGUUCAUGAGCUAGUUAUAGAUCUCUUGGCUGGAAUUUUGUGCACAAUCAAAGGACGAUUUUGUUCCCAACUGCCUGAGUUUCUUGAAUCUCUAAUGCAAGCUUCUUGUUCAUUUGCGCAACAAUCUUCUUUGUUUGCUCCUUUCUCUAAUGAAGCAAUUAAGACUUGCCUUUUCAGAAUGCCUACCAGAUGGAUUUUCUGCAGUUUUUUAAGUUGACAUGGUCUAUUAUUGGGCAAGAGUUAACAUCGGGAGUGCAACAAUUCUUUCAGGAUACUUUUAUACCAUCGGCCUUAAACUCUACAUCUCUUGUACUUAUUCCAAAAAGACCUGGAGCUGUUGAAGUGAUAGACUUUCGACCUAUUUCCUGCCUUAGUACAGUUUACAAAAUCAUAUCUCGGCUUUUAUUAGGCAGGCUAAAGGUUAUACUUCCUAAUCAAACCGCUUUUGUUAAGGAUAGAUUGUUGCUGGAGAAUGUGCUAUUGGCCUCAGAAGUUAUGCAAGGCUAUCAUCUUAAUUCAGGGAAAGAGGGAAUUACUCUGAAAGUGGACAUUUCAAAAGCCUUUGAUUCAGUGAGAUGGGACUUUCUUCUUAGCUCUCUUCAUGCUUAUAAGGUUCCCUUUGGUUUUAUUAAUUGGGUUAGAGCUUGUGUUUGCACUCCGUCUUUCAGUGUUAGUAUAAAUGGGGUUUCUUCAGGUUAUUUUAAAGGAAGGACAGGUUUGCGCCAAGGAGAUCCUUUAUCUCCAGUUCUGUUUGUUCUGGUAAUGAAUGUGUUAUCUCUAAUGUUGAAUAAAGCCGCAGUUGAAGGAUCUUUCAAGUACCAUCCUGGUUGUGAGGAUCUUAAGCUUACACAUCUUUGUUUUGCUGAUGAUUUAUUAAUCUUCUUGGAAGGGUCUGAACAAUCGUGAAGAGGAGUUAUGUCAGUCCUCUCAGAUUUUGCGGAAAUGUCCGGGUUGGGUAUGAAUAUUGAGAAGACCUCCAUGUUUUGCUCUGGUUUAAAUGAGACUAGCUUGGACCGGAUACAAUUCCUAUUUAAUCUGAAGCCUGUCUCACUUCCAGUUAGAUACUUGGGACUCCCUUUAUGCUCCAAGAAGCUUUCGGUUAGAGAUUGUGAUCCCCUGCUGUCUCAAAUUAGAAAGAAACUAAACUCUUGGACUCACAAGUUUCUAAGUUUGGCGGGAAGGUUAACACUUAUCUCUACUGUUAUCUCCGGCAUAAUAGGUUUUUGGACUAGUGCUUUCUUCCUUCCUAAGCAGGUUAUUCGGAGGAUCAAUAGCCUUUGCAGCUCUUUUCUAUGGCAUGGAAAGACUGAUACUCCCUCUGGGGCCAAAGUGUCAUGGAAUGACUUAUGUUUCUCCAAAAUGGAGGGUGGACUUGGAUUAAGGAGCAUUGGUAGUUGGAAUGUGACUUGUGCCUUGAAACUUUUUUGGAUAUUGUUUUUUAGAGCUGGUUCUUUAUGGGUGGCUUGGAUAAGAAACAAGUAUCUUUCUACAUCUCCUUUGUGGGCGCUUAAUGGGAAAAAUGUUGCUUACUCUUGGAGUUUUAGAAAAUUACUUAGGCUCCGUCCCGAAGCUCUUAAAUUUUUCAGCAUCAAGAUCGGCAAUGGUGAUUCAACCUUUUUCUGGUGGGAUCCAUGGACUCCUUUUGGGUCUCUUUACCAUUUUCUUGGUUAAGAUGUCCUACUCACUUAGGGAUCCCUCUAUUUUCAACUGUGGCUGAAUUGAGAAUGGAGGAUAGAUGGUCUCUCUUUAAUGCCAGAACAGAGAGACAAGUUCUUCUCCAUCCUUUCAUCACUACCAUUAAUUUGUCCUUAUCAAAUGAUACUCCAGUUUGGGCUAUUGAUGGUAUCCCUUAAAAGUCUUUCUCUUCAAAAGAUGUGUGGAAUGCUGUUAGGAUUUCAAAACCAGGAAAAUUUUGGGCUCCUCUUGUGUGGCACAAAGCAGCCAUCCCAAGACAUGCUAUAACCGCUUGGUUGUUUAUUCUCAAUCGGAAUCCUACUCUUGAUCGUUUAUCUUCAUGGGGUUAUGAUGUUGAGGUAGAUUGUCUCCUUUGUGGUUUAGCUCAAGAAUCACGAGAUCAUCUGUUUUUUAACUGUUCUUUUUCUGCUGAGGUAUGGCAAUUGAUAACUCAAAAACUUCAGAUCCCAGCUUCUCCGUUUUUAUGGGAUCAAAUACUUCUAUGGCUGCGAUCAACUUCAGUAUCAAAGCAAAAAGAAUUAGCUCUCCUUCAAGGAUGGCAGGGUGCGAUCUAUGAACUAUGGUGAGAGAGAAAUCGACGUUUCCAUGACGGUGUCUCUCUUUCUCCAGCUACAAUUACUCGGGUCAUUCUAUCCACUAUGGAAAAUAAGUGUAGUUCAAUGAUGACGCUAGGCUCAAAGCGUGGGGCUUCUAUUCUUCAAUGCUGGAUUCCCUAAAGCUGCACUUUAUAUUCGUUUCUAUUUUCAAGUUUCCUUUGUUUGGAUCCUUGGUCCUCCUAGUACUACUAGUUACUAGUUCUAUCCUCUUUUCUGGUUGUAAUGGUUCUAUAUUACCUCUCUGUAUACUUUUACUGUUUAUAUAAGAAAACCCUUUAACAAAAAAAGCAAUCUAUAUGAUCCGUUCUGUUUUAUGAUACAAUUUGUUUAGAUAUUUGUAUGUAUGUAUCUAUUAUAUAAUGUAUGUAUGUAUCUAAACUUGUUUAAAAAUCUGAGAAAUCUAAAAAUAACGAAAAACUUAUAAAUUUGUAUAGAUAUUCAAUUCAUAUUAUAUAAAAGUACAUUCAAAAUAAAAUUAAUCAUAUUUUCUCUAUGAAAAAACAAUCUUUUAUUUUCUAGAGAUUAUUAUUCAGUGAGACAACAACAAUGGGUCGGAGUACAUUCACCGUAAUAUGUCAAACUCAUUUUUCUACAUAACGCCAUGCAGCCUUGAGUCCCUGCUUUGAUACACGGUGCUCAACUGAAGCAACUUUUCGAGUUUUGCUUGACUCCAAUAUCUAUUUAAUAUAAUAAUUUAACAAAUCGUUAUAAUCAUACAAAAUGAUAUAAAAAUAUCUUCAUAACUAAGGAAAAAGUUUGAAAAUAUAAAUAAGUUCAUACCAAGAGUGGUAUCAGAGCAAUGAACAUAAGGUGUGACAAAAAGAAUAGUGAGAAGAAAUAAGACAAGUAACUUUUUGGUGAGAGCCAUGAUAACUUUGUAAGAGUUUUUUUUUUGUUUUUGUUUAUAAGUUAUAGCCAAUGGCUGAUAUAUAUACAUAGUCCAUAGAAAUAGCCAACUCGGAAUCUUGACAUGCCUGUUCCAACCAAAAUAAUGCAAACAAAUAUGUAAACAGAUCAAGGAUACAAUAAUAUCUCCCAAAUCCCAAUAAUUUUAAACUACAGAAAAAU
rnacentral:lncRNA from 1 species